CCUACGGGCGGCAGCAGUGGGGAAUUUUGGACAAUGGGGGCAACCCUGAUCCAGCCAUGCCGCGUGCGGGAAGAAGGCCUUCGGGUUGUAAACCGCUUUUGGUCGGGAAGAAAAGGCGCGCGCUAAUACCGCGUGUUCUUGACGGUACUGACAGAAUAAGCUCCGGCUAACUCCGUGCCAGCAGCCGCGGUAAUACGGAGGGAGCUAGCGUUGUUCGGAAUUACUGGGCGUAAAGCGCGCGUAGGCGGCUUUGUAAGUUAGAGGUGAAAGCCCGGGGCUCAACCCCGGAACUGCCUUUAAGACUGCAUCGCUUGAAUCCGGGAGAGGUGAGUGGAAUUCCGAGUGUAGAGGUGAAAUUCGUAGAUAUUCGGAAGAACACCAGUGGCGAAGGCGGCUCACUGGACCGGUAUUGACGCUGAGGUGCGAAAGCGUGGGGAGCA
rnacentral:rRNA from 1 species